UGGGGAAUUUUGGACAAUGGGGGAAACCCUGAUCCAGCCAUCCCGCGUGUGCGAUGAAGGCCUUCGGGUUGUAAAGCACUUUUGGCAGGAAAGAAACGUCGCGGGUUAAUACCCCGCGGAACUGACGGUACCUGCAGAAUAAGCACCGGCUAACUACGUGCCAGCAGCCGCGGUAAUACGUAGGGUGCAAGCGUUAAUCGGAAUUACUGGGCGUAAAGCGUGCGCAGGCGGUUCGGAAAGAAAGAUGUGAAAUCCCAGAGCUUAACUUUGGAACUGCAUUUUUAACUACCGGGCUAGAGUGUGUCAGAGGGAGGUGGAAUUCCGCGUGUAGCAGUGAAAUGCGUAGAUAUGCGGAGGAACACCGAUGGCGAAGGCAGCCUCCUGGGAUAACACUGACGCUCAUGCACGAAAGCGUGGGGAGCAAACAGGAUUAGAUACCCUGGUAGUCCACGCCCUAAACGAUGUCAACUAGCUGUUGGGGUCUUCGGACCUUGGUAGCGCAGCUAACGCGUGAAGUUGACCGCCUGGGGAGUACGGUCGCAAGAUUAAAACUCAAAGGAAUUGACGGGG
rnacentral:rRNA from 1 species